GUUCAUGUGAUGAAUUUAACUGUUCAACUGCUGAAUGAUACAGACAUGAACUAAAAUCUUCAUUCUGAUUGAG
ensembl:snoRNA SNORD5 small nucleolar RNA, C/D box 5